AACAUAUUCUCCAUGUUGAAGUUUGACUAUAUCCUUUUUACGGUCAAUAAUUUCAAGACAACCAUCAGCAUGAAAUUGCCCUAUGUCACCAGUGUAGAACCACCGCAUUCCCCUCUCAUCGACCUUGUAUGAUUCUCUAGUUUUUUCUUCAUUUUUGAAAUAUCCAAGUGUAACAUUUGGACCACCAAUUACAAUUUCUCCCCGUGGCCUUGGCAAAUCACUAGUUAAGUAUCCACCUUCGGGCCAAUCAAUCAACUUAACAUACGAGCAAGGAAGCGGAGCUCCUACACGACCAACGGUCAAGUCAUCGAACUCAGAG
rnacentral:misc_RNA from 1 species